rnacentral:sRNA from 1 species
UAAAAGUCGCGUUAAGGAUAGAAACGGCAUCCUUUUUACGUUGAUUUUGAGUGCAGUUGCUUAAGUAAAUUUGUAUUGAAAACAACGUAAAAAGAUACAGUGUAUAGCCUGUUAAAAC